rnacentral:pre_miRNA from 1 species
AAAACAUUCGGACCGUCGUUCUACCGAUCAAUAUCAACCGCUCCGUGGAAGAUCUUUCCUCCGUCGU